rnacentral:snRNA from 1 species
AUACUUACCUGGCAGGGGAGAUACCAUGAUCACGAAGGUGGUUUUCCCAGGGCGAGGCUUAUCCAUUGCACUCCGGAUGUGCUGACCCCUGCGAUUUCCCCAAAUGUGGGAAACUCGACUGCAUAAUUUGUGGUAGUGGGGGACUGCAUUCACGCUCUCCCCUG